UUUCGCUAUUUGGUAUGCAAAUUAAGGAAAAUAACAUCUCAAGAGUAUUCAUAAGUAAUUAGAUAUAGUAAACAUGAAGCGAUAAACUUUCAAACCAACAACAUUUCGAGCCUACAAAUUUCAUAAACUUUCGAACCGCUAAACUUUCAAAACCGCGGAAUUUCAAUCCCUUAAACUUCAUAAUUUCAAUACCCGUAAACUUCAAUCACAUAAACCUCUGAACUCAUAAUUUUGGAACUUGUAAAAUUUUGAGCCUUUAAACCUAUAAAUAAUAAAAUUAAAACUGAACAAUAUAUUUAAAAUAUUUUUGUUGGGGGGAGGGGGGGAGGAUGGGCAGACAUAAUUUCAAUACCCGUAAACUUCAAUCACAUAAACCUCUGAACUCAUAAUUUUGGAACUUGUAAAAUUUUGAGCCUUUAAACCUAUAAAUAAUAAAAUUAAAAUUGAAAAUAUAUUUAAUUUUUAGGAGGGUGGGGGAGUGGGGAUGGGGGGAGGGCAGUAAAACGAAAAAA
rnacentral:lncRNA from 1 species